UUUUUGGCAUAAGUAUAUCCCAUGCAAUAUUUGGGACAUACUUAUGCCAAAA
rnacentral:pre_miRNA from 1 species